rnacentral:lncRNA from 1 species
UGACAGCCAUUAUAGCUUUGAUCAUUUUCUCGAUUGAUCAAAGCACCACAGACUGCAUCGUUCGUCACCUCUGCCUUUAAGCGCGUUAUCACCUACUCCAAUAAGCCACCCCAAUAUCCUUAUAAGCAAUAGAAGUUCUUAUCGACUGUGUAUGACUCAUUAAUAUCCAUGUUCUGUAUAAAUUUAUGUGAUAGGCCUACUGGUAUUAAUGUUGAUGUACCGUAAUGUUUUUUGCUCAUGUAUAAUUGAUAAUAAUACAUUAAAAAUAAAUAUAAUGUUAAAUUAUUA